GACGAACGCUGGCGGCGUGCCUAACACAUGCAAGUCGAACGAACAGACCAGGAUUUUGCGCGGCGGUCGUGAGGGGCGGAGGGGAGAAGAACAUGUGUAUAACCUACCUAUAAGAGGGGUAAAAUUACGGGAAAGGGGAUAUUAUACCGGAGGAUAUAUUGAAGCAUGGUGUGCAAUGGUGAGAUUCGGUGUUUGGGGCAGUAAUAGAGGGUUCCGGGCCGCAUUGGCUGGUUGGUAAGGUAAAGGCUUAUCAAGGCGAGGAUGCGUAGCCGACCGGGGAGAGUGGUCGGCCACCCUGGAAGGGAGCCACGGUCCAGACUCCUGCGGGAGGCAGCAGUAGGGAAUGUUCCGCAAUGGGGGAGAGCCUGACGGAGCAACGCGGAGUGAGUGAUGAAGGUGUUCGGAUCGUAAAACUCUGUUAUUAGGGGAGAACAAAUGUGUAAGUAACUGUGCACGUAUUGACGGUAACUAAUCAGAAAGCCACGGCUAACUACGUG
rnacentral:rRNA from 1 species